rnacentral:rRNA from 1 species
AUACGUAGGUGACAAGCGUUAUCCGGAUUUACUGGGUGUAAAGGGCGUGUAGGCGGUUUAGCAAGUCAGAAGUGAAAUUCCCGGGCUUAACUUGGGCGCUGCUUCUGAAACUGCUUUACUUGAGUGCUGGAGAGGAUAGUGGAAUUCCUAGUGUAGCGGUAAAAUGCGCAGAUAUUAGGAGGAACACCGGUGGCGAAGGCGGCUAUCUGGACAGUAACUGACGCUGAGGCGCGAAAGCACGGGGAGCAAACAGGAUUAGAUACCCUGGUAGUCCGUGCCGUAAACGAUGAAUACUAGGUGUAGGGGGUAUCGACUCCCUCUGUGCCGCAGUCAACACAUUAAGUAUUCCACCUGGGGAGUACGGCCGCAAGGUUGAAACUCAAAGGAAUUGACGGGG